UUAAGUUCAGCGGGUAUUCCUACCUGAUCCGAGGUCAACCUUAGAAAAAUAGAUUUGAAGACCGGGCCGGUAGACCGCGUCGACGCGUGCUGUAAAAGCUCGUUGCAUCUAGGGUCAAACACGACACCGCCAUUACCUUUCGGGACUGUCACCUUGACCGUGACGGGGCCCAAUGACAAGCCGGGCUUGAGGGUUGAUAA
rnacentral:misc_RNA from 1 species